rnacentral:rRNA from 1 species
GAUUAACGCUGGCGGCGUGCAUAACACAUGCAAGUCGAACGAUGAAACUUAACUGAUUUCUUCGGAAUGAUUUUAAGUGGAUUAGUGGCGGACGGGUGAGUAACGCGUGAGUAACCUGCCUUGGAGAAGGGGAUAGCCUUUGGAAACGAAGAAUAAUACCCUAUGAUAUGAUAAUAUCUCAUGAUAUUAUCAUCAAAGAUUUAUCGCUCUAAGAUGGACUUGCGUCUGAUUAGUUAGUUGGUGAGGUAACAGCUCACCAAGGCAGCGAUCAGUAGCCGGCUUGAGAGAGUGUACGGCCACAUUGGGACUGAGACACGGCCCAGACUCCUACGGGAGGCAGCAGUGGGGAAUUUUGCACAAUGGGGGAAACCCUGAUGCAGCGACGCCGCGUGAUUUAGAAGGUCUUCGGGUUGUAAAAAUCUUUUGUAUGGGGAGAAAAUGACAGUACCAUACGAAUAAGGACCGGCUAACUACGUG